rnacentral:tRNA from 1 species
GAGGAUAUAGCUCAAAUGGAAGAGCACAUACUCAACAUACAUGAGGUCCUGGGUUCAAUCCCCAGUACCUCCU